rnacentral:rRNA from 1 species
UACAGAGGGGGCGAGCGUUAUUCGGAAUUAUUGGGCGUAAAGGGCGCGUAGGCGGCCUUUCAAGUGACGGGUGAAAUCCCUCGGCUUAACCGAGGAACUGCCUGUCAGACUGGAAGGCUUGAGACCGGGAGAGGUGAGUGGAAUUCCCAGUGUAGCGGUGAAAUGCGUAGAUAUUGGGAAGAACACCAGAGGCGAAGGCGGGUUGCUGGGCCGACACUGACGCUGAGGCGCGAAAGCCAGGGGAGCAAACGGG